UACGGAGGGUGCAAGCGUUAUCCGGAUUUACUGGGUUUAAAGGGUGUGUAGGCGGGCUUUUAAGUCAGUGGUGAAAUCUCCGGGCUCAACCUGGAAACUGCCAUUGAUACUAUUAGUCUUGAAUUUUGUUGAGGUAGGCGGAAUAAGUCAUGUAGCGGUGAAAUGCAUAGAUAUGACUUAGAACACCAAUUGCGAAGGCAGCUUGCUAAACAAAUAUUGACGCUGAGCACGAAAGCGUGGGAUCAAACAGG
rnacentral:rRNA from 1 species